rnacentral:rRNA from 1 species
UGACAGGUGGUGCAUGGUUGUCGUCAGCUCGUGUCGUGAGAUGUUGGGUUAAGUCCCGCAACGAGCGCAACCCUCGACCUUAGUUGCCAGCAUUCAGUUGGGCACUCUAAGGUGACUGCCGGCUAAAAGUCGGAGGAAGGUGGGAUGACGUCAAAUCAUCAUGCCCCUUAUGACCUGGGCUACACACGUGCUACAAUGGGCGGUACAAAGGGCCGCGAACCCGCGAGGGGGAGCCAAUCCCAAAAAGCCGCUCUCAGUUCGGAUUGCAGGCUGCAACUCGCCUGCAUGAAGCCGGAAUCGCUAGUAAUCGCGGAUCAGCAUGCCGCGGUCGAAUACGUUCCCGGGCCUU